rnacentral:rRNA from 1 species
GACGAACGCUGGCGGCGUGCUUAACACAUGCAAGUCGAACGGAAAGGCCCUGCUUUUGUGGGGUGCUCGAGUGGCGAACGGGUGAGUAACACGUGAGUAACCUGCCCUUGACUUUGGGAUAACUUCAGGAAACUGGGGCUAAUACCGGAUAGGAGCUCCUGCUGCAUGGUGGGGGUUGGAAAGUUUCGGCGGUUGGGGAUGGACUCGCGGCUUACCAGCUUGUUGGUGGGGUAGUGGCUUACCAAGGCUUUGAUGGGUAGCCGGCCUGAGAGGGUGACCGGCCACAUUGGGACUGAGAUACGGCCCAGACUCCUACGGGAGGCAGCAGUGGGGAAUAUUGCACAAUGGGCGGAAGCCUGAUGCAGCAACGCCGCGUGCGGGAUGACGGCCUUCGGGUUGUAAACCGCUUUCGCCUGUGACGAAGCGUGAGUGACGGUAAUGGGUAAAGAAGCACCGGCUAACUACGUG